rnacentral:rRNA from 1 species
CUUCCAUCUGGAAGAAUCCGGAGACAGGUGCUGCAUGGCUGUCGUCAGCUCGUGUCGUGAGAUGUUGGGUUAAGUCCGCAACGAGCGCAACCCUUGCCUUAGUUGCCAGCAGUUCGGCUGGGCACUCUAAAGGGACUGCCGGUGUUAAACCGGAGGAAGGUGGGGAUGACGUCAAGUCCUCAUGGCCUUUAUGACCAGGGCUACACACGUACUACAAUGGCCGAUACAAAGGGCAGCGACACUGCGAGGUGAAGCCAAUCCCGUAAAAUCGGUCUCAGUCCGGAUUGGAGUCUGCAACUCGACUCCAUGAAGUUGGAAUCGCUAGUAAUCGCGGAUCAGAACGCCGCGGUGAAUACGUUCUCGGGGUUU